GCCUCCGUGGCGCAAUCGGCUAGCGCGUUCGGCUGUUACCCGGAAGGUUGGAGGUUCAAGCCCUCCCGGGGGCG
rnacentral:tRNA from 1 species